rnacentral:rRNA from 1 species
UAGGGAAUCUUCGGCAAUGGACGAAAGUCUGACCGAGCAACGCCGCGUGAGUGAAGAAGGUUUUCGGAUCGUAAAACUCUGUUGUUAGAGAAGAACAAGGACGUUAGUAACUGAACGUCCCCUGACGGUAUCUAACCAGAAAGCCACGGCUAACUACGUGCCAGCAGCCGCGGUAAUACGUAGGUGGCAAGCGUUGUCCGGAUUUAUUGGGCGUAAAGCGAGCGCAGGCGGUUUCUUAAGUCUGAUGUGAAAGCCCCCGGCUCAACCGGGGAGGGUCAUUGGAAACUGGGAGACUUGGGUGCAGAAGAGGAGAGUGGAAUUCCAUGUGUAGCGGUGAAAUGCGUAGAUAUAUGGAGGAACACCAGUGGAGAAGGCGGCUCUCUGGUCUGUAACUGACGCUGAGGCUCGAAAGCGUGGGGAGCAAACAGG